GAAGGCAUAUUUGGCAUGCGUCCUUGUCAUUUUGAUAUCUUUCAUUUUGAUUGGGGUCGUCCAAUGCAAAAAUAAGUCGCCCAGCAAAGAAAAAAGGCCUAAUGGGUCAAGAGGGCAAACGGAUUUGCGCAGGAAAACGAUAAUCAGAUGCUGUGGCAAACAAUCUUGCUUCAAUGUGGAAAAAAAGACCAAAACUUCCACCAGGGCAAAAAUAAACUCGACCAACUCAAAGCUAACCUCCGCCCAAACUACGCUGCAAGAAAUCAUUUCCACGGAAUACAUCGUUUCAGAGGAUUCUGCAACAAUUCCAAAUGAGGCGCCAACAGAAGCAAUAACCGAAGCGACAACCACAUUGCAAUCAGAAACUACCCCACCUGUUGCUCCCCCGUCUGAACCUACGACCCAAAAAUUAUCCGACCCAAUUACGUCAUCCGUCUUAAUUUCGAGUCUUCCAACUGC